GGCCAGUAACUGGCCUCAGUGGACACAGUGACUUGAUCGCUUUGACACAGCAGUGUUGUACCAUUCAAGCCACAGAGGCCUAUGCCUGGCUGCAGUGGUCAUGAGACCAAGUCACUUCCUUGUCCUGUGGGGGCUGGAAGCAGCCAGGAACGGGGUAGUGGACAUGCGAGUAAGGUUUUUUUUUUUUUAUGAUCGGGGCAUAGGUUAAGACUCCAAGGAUCUAUUAUUUAUAAGCAUGUGUACAGAUAUGAGGAAAGUUUAAGCAUUUUCAGGUAAA